CAUCUAGUGGUGGCGAAUGUAUUGCGGCCCUCUACAGAAUAUCUUCCCGUACCAAGACACCAUGUGAAGGCUGCAUGUAGGCGCCGGCUUGACGGCCAUAUCCAGUGCUUGUGUACCUACAUUUGUUAAUGUCAACUAUCCAAAUACUAUCCCAGGCAGACGGAAUAGACAGACAAGGACACUGAACCAUCCAGGUUAACCCCCAAACAUGCUGACAGGUCCAAGAGAAGCCACAACACGAUUCUGUGAACUGACAGGUCCAGGUCUUCCGGGUGAGAAUCAUCCGUUCUCUGUCAAGAAAAACCCUGUGAUACUAGGAAUGGAAUUCGGUGGGAGCAGGUUGAGUCAGCAUUUUUAUUCUGAUUUAGUGAUUUAAUUUCAACAAGAUCAUGAUUAUAUUGGCUCUGGUGUUCAAAUGUCAAGGAAGAAAAAACAUGCAAAAUAACUCUACCAGUGUGGAAUCCAAGGAAACAAACAAAACCCAGGGUGCAGUAGCUGCUGAAGGUUCCCCUCCAUGACUGUCUGUCACAUGACUGACAGAGGAGAACAUGGCAAACUCCCACAUCCCGCGUUCUUUAACAGGGCUGCAUUUCUACCUUGGGAUCCCAUAAAGUGAAAUUUGAGCCAUUUUGACUUAUACGCAAUACGGCAUGUGACACAUCUUUAGUGUUUAGAAACACUAAAACAAACUAGAACCUCUCCUUAUGGGUUUCUGGGAACCACAAGGAAGAUGGACAUACUUCCAACAUGCUUUAUUAACACUCUAGAAGUCCCGUUUUCCUAGCCCCUCUUCCCAAAGCUGCACUUUCUUGUGUCUCAGGCUUACAUACCCGUUUGCAUACCCAGGACUAUUUUCUGCUACCAAGAGCGGCUGAGCCCGAAGAGCACAGUUCUGCUGCCUCUGGCUCUAAACUGGUAAGCAGAUGGGCUCCAGAGUCCCCUGGAGGAGGGGCAUUCCCCUUCAGCCUACGGUGUUCAUUACUGGUGAAGUUUUGAUCAAGUUUAUGUGUCAAGCACUCCCGCACAUCAGCUCCACAGAGGAGCAGGACAAGCCAUUGUGAAAGGCAUCACCAUUUCAACCAAAAGGCGCACAUCCAUUGCUUUGUUUGAAGGUGCCUUUCAUCUCUCCUCCGUCAGGGGCCGAGCAUCGGAGCCACGUUCACAUUCACAGUCGCUGUGAAGGGGAUUUUCCACUCAGGUUCCGGGAAGGUCACUGAUUAGGCCAGUAAACCCCGAUUUCCUUAAUCUGUGAGAAAACCAUAAAUGUGCUCCUUGAAGACGUUUAAAAUAACUCUGUGACAUUAGCGUCAGGACAAACUCCAAACAGCUAAAAUGAUUGAACUCAGUCAGCUUUCAAAUUCGCUCCUACCAAUCAGCUGGUUUUUAUGAGUGUGACAUUGGUGUCUCCCCCAACUGAGUUAUGUUUUAUUAAAGCUUACCUAUGUGUUACAUGCAUACAGCCCUGAGGAUGUUACUUUUCAAAAUUAAAACCGAUUAGUACAAAGUAAUUUUUGUUCUACAAAAUAAUUUCUUCUGUGAGGAAGAUGCUGAAUGACUAAUAAAACGGGAACUAAUUGUACUUUAGAACCAUUUAUC
rnacentral:sRNA from 1 species